GUUGUCUUUAUUGCAGUGGCAAGGUUGAGUUUGAGUGUGGCUUUUGCAUUUCUAAUUUUCUCCCUAUAUAUCUUAGCAACUUUUUUGUACUUUCCCCAAAUUGCCCAUCUCUUCUUCCACAGGAGGUAGAUUCUUUUUCUCCUGGAGACUGGGACUAGUCACCAGCUGAAUUUAACUCCAGCACGGAGUCUCUGCAAAAGUUCCCUGUUAAUCCAUGGUAGUCUUCCUCCCUGGCAGCUCAUCUUAUGGCACAUGGGGACAGCCUGCUCCUGUACCUUUAAGACUUUCUUCUUGAGGAAUGUCCAGCCUUCCUGGUCCCCUUUACCCUUCUGAUCUGACUCUCAAGGAAUUCUCCCUACCAGUGUCCUGAUUCAAAGUAUACCUUCUGGAAGCCCUAAGUAACAGUCUUUCUGGCCUCUCUCCUGACUUCACCAAGGGUAGAGAGCUCUACCAUUCUGUGUUCAUUUUACCCAAGAUGGCUCCUGACCUCCACGUCUCCCACCAAUCCUUCUCUGUUUAUGAACAGCAGGUCUAGCAGGGCAGCUCCCCAGUAGGCUCUCUUGCCAGCUAUGUCAGGAAUUUAUCUUCCACACAUUCUAGAAACCUCCUAAGUUGCUUCUUAUGCAGUAUAUAGUAUUUCCAGUAUAUAUCGGGGAAGCUGAAGUCCCCCAUGAGAACAAGGGCUAUCGAUCAUCCAACUUCUGCCAGCUUCUUAUAAAAUACAUCGUUCAUCUCUUCUUUCCAGUUAGGAUGUUUAUAACAGACCUCCACUAGGAUGUCAGUCUUUUGGCCUUCCCCUUGAUCCUUACCAAUAGAGACACAACCUUACUUACUAUUCCCAGCCCCAAGCUCAGCACUCAAAACACUCUAACAAAGAAGAACCAUUGCCUCUCCUUCCUUGCCUAUCCCUUCUGAAGAGGUUGUAGCCAUCCAUUGCAGCACUCCAGUUGUGGGAAUAAUUCUACCAUGUUUCAGUAAUGGCAACUAACCCAUAAUUUGCCUGUUGCGAGAUGGCUUCAAGCUCCUUCUGUUUGCUACCAUGUUGUGUGCAUUGGUGUAUAUACACUUCAGCUGAGCCACUUCUACUUUAUUAUUUAGACACUUCUUGAUCUGAGCUACAGGAACUAGUUCCGGGACCAGUUACAGCAAGGAUAGGUUUUUUUGUUUAUCUUCAUAGAAGCCAAAUUUGAGCCAGGGAUAUAAACAUCUUUGUUCAUAUGAUACCAUGUGAGUGUACCUACCAUUUUUCUGGACGCACUCUGUACAUCUAAAAUUUCAACUGUGCACACAACUUUGGUUUGCAAUAAGCAGUUUUAAAUGCUGUGGGCAGGUAUCAAUCAUAUUCACUUCCAGACAAAUGUCAGAGGAACUUGACUCUUUUCAGUGGACAGCUUUGUUAUGCGUUUCCUUCGGAUUUAUUUUCACAGGUUCUCUUGGGAGUAAUUUUUUCAUAAAGUAACUUUCACACACUUGUAGGGGGCAAAAUUGCUGCUAAUUAUUGUAAUUGUAUGUUUCAAUCCAUUCUGAAGAAUCAGAAAAUAAUCGUAUAUGAAAACUGAUCUGAAGACAGGUCCCCUAGCUUGUUAAUUUGCUGUUCUACUAAAUAACUGUUUUGUGUUCCUCCUGAUGUUUACACAGAUUUGUCUGAUUCACAGCCUCACUUAGAGCUUAUUUGUAGUGUGUCCUACUAACAUGUCAGAAUGAAAAACUAAUAGUAUAAUUCCAUAUUGUGGUGGUAGUAAUUCAAAUGUUAUUUACAUUUUCAUUUGUGUAUGCAGAUAUUGUUUUAGCAAUAAUUAAAAAUAAACUGUGAAUUUCUGCUUUAGGGACUGAAUUUAUAAAUAUAAACAUGAAAAUACUGAAGACCUUCAAAAAGUGUACCUAUUCUAAUGUCGAAGGAUUUCAAAGGGAAAAUUCUUAGUUUAAGAUUAAUAUUCUCUUAAGAAUUCUGUAAAAUAAACCAAUUAUUUACAUUUAAAUACCGGAUAAAAGCACAGAUAUCAUCAGCUGUGAAGCAGAAUUAAAGUGAUUUCAAGAAUAUCUUUACUAAAUUGUUGUAACAGUGCAUAUGUUUUGUUGACUUAAACUAUACCUUCCAAGAAUAUGAAUAUGUUAUAAUUAGCUUGCUUUGGUGUAAAUGGAAAUGUACAUUGUCAUUAUAUGUCUAUGAACUUGGUUAUAUUUUGUUACGUUAUAAAUGGUUAUAUUUUACUAGGUCACAUAAUUAAUACUAUACAAAGAAGGAGAGAGUGAACACAGUAAGUCAGUUAUUUAUUUCAGUACCUGUAAGUAAGAUACCAGAGGCGUAUUUAAGUUUGCUAAUUCUACCAAAUAAAGAAACUCAACAAACUGAAAUUAAAAUUUGGUGUAAUGUUUAAUAUCUGUUCAGAUUUAGACUUUUAGACAUAUAUGAGUUAAUAGUCAAAUUAACUAACUAAACAUAGAAUUACUUUUUAUAAAUCUUUAUUUUUUAUUACCAAAGUUAAAAUUAGAACUAUCCCUUUGUUCUGUCUAAAACAAAAACAAAAACAAAAAACAAACAAACCCAAAAAAACCCUCAAAAAUCUACACCUACUGAUAUUCCCGUAUGCCCAUCUAUUUUUCCAUACAAAAAAGGGACAUUCUCUUUGUAAACAACUCAUCCUGGAAAAAUUUUAAAAUCUUUGAGUAACUAUAAAAAUCCAAAAGCUGUAAUAACCAUCUCUGUAUUUUCUGUGAGCUAAACAACUGUUAUGGUGUUGAAAAUAAGAACCAGGAAAUCCACGGGAUAUUGCUAAAGAAAGAGUACAUAUGAAAACAGCAUAGGUUUGUGUGCAACAGAAGCCUGGUGGUGGGUCAGGAACAGUGUGAAGUGCUGGUGUGUCUGCUUUUCAUGCUUUUAGUUGAAAGAAAUAUAUAUAUAACUCUUGAAAUUACUUGCAUAUUGAGAUGUUUUCAGAUGUCUUUAAUUGCUCACAAGAUGUCAAAAAAACAUAGUAGGCAUUAUUAUCACAAACAAAAGUAAAUUACCUCUGCAGUGGCAAAACCUAGAAUAUUUUUAUUUUCUUUCAAAUUUUUUUUCAAUAAAAUUCACUGAUUUCUAGUCAUUGUUAUUUUAAUGUAUGUACAAUUUCAUUACAACUCAACUGUCUGUCUGAUCCCACCAGUCUGCUUUAUCAAACCAUACAACUGGAAAAUUUACAUAAUUGCAAACACUGAAAUAUUCCUAUGACUAGAAGUAUUUCUAAACAGUAUUUCUAUUUUGAUUUUGAACUUCAUCUCAGUUUGUACAAUCUUCCUUACACUUCCUCUAAAAAAUUGUUAUUUUUCCUUUUUGAAAAUUUAACUAAAAGCUUCUUUAUGACACUCCUGAGAGAUAUUUCAAAUACCAAUCAAAAGAAAGGAAGAAUGAAAGAAAGAAAAAAAGAAGAACAAGUUAUUUCCUACUGAUUGUAUUUGCAAUGGUACUGCAGGCUAUCCAUUUUCAAGUUACAGUCACCUCUCACUGAGGGAGAUUUGGUAGAUUAAGCUAAAUGAAAAUUGUAUAAAUUAUUAUGAAAUUAUUUAAGAUUUUUGACGUCACCAUUAAUCGGUUGAUUCUUUGAGGUAGGUAACUCAUUAAUGAAAUAUUUUAUUUCUGUCUUCUUAACUAUUUGAUCCACUCCACUGUCCUUUUGUGAUAAGAAUAUUUUACUACUACAGCUGUAUAUAGUAAUUGCUGUUAAAUUCAAUGAUUUCUGCUAUUUUAUAUUCUUUUUCGAUAAUAAUAAAAAUAACAGAAAAAAAUUAAUGACAUUUUAAAAAUAGCUUUUCAAGAAGAUGUACUGCUAAAUGUAGCAGUAUAUUACUGAAUGUUUCUGUUCCUAGUUAAAUUUUGUAUAAAUUAUCCUAGAUGAAUAAUUGUAUACAGUAGCAUAACUUCAAC
rnacentral:lncRNA from 1 species